UGGCGCGCGCCUCCCUGCUCACAUGACGCCUUUCUAUAUGUUGGCUCCUCUCUCAGCGCUCAAUAGCGACCAGCCCAGGCAUCAAUGCAGACCUUACACCGGACAAAUCGGGCGUCCAGCAUCUACAGUAUGUGCAAUGACAAUGUGUGCUUAAAAAAAGAGCAAAAAAAUAUAUUUAAAAAAAAUAUAUCAUCUGAAGAUGUGCACAUGCUGACUCUCACUGCCGAGGAAGGACACACUUUUUUUUCUGCAAGCAGACGACCGGAGCCGCACGGCGGCGAGACAUAAACGCCCAUAAGUUGCUGAAAUGAAUCUCCAGGUCAUGUUUGGGGCUGCCAUAACAGGAAGAAAACAAGAACAAUUGCCUCGAACACAGAGGUGGAGGGAGGGACACCCCACAGCAGAACACGACAAGAAAUGGAAAAAAAGGUCUAGACAUGAUGGAGGUGCACACACACAUACGACGGCACCUCGGGUCUGUCUGCAGUCUAACACCAGCACACCACCCCCACCAGCCCAGCGUUUGUUGCCGCAUGCCACGCACACCCUUGCCUUUUACGGGCACCAGAAAGAGACAACAUUCCAGCUGUGACGAGACAGAGGAAGUCAAGUCUAACAUACACACACACACACACACACACACACACAGCCAGAGGCGCGUGAGCAGGUGAGCAUUAAGUCAGGCAACUAAACAGAUCGUCGCGGUUUGAUAUCAGCAGACAGACAGAGGCGGCCGGUCUAUACCUGCGGGCAGUCAGUAGCACCCUCACCAGGAAUGUCCUCCUACUUGUGAGACACAAUUCAAUGUAAACUGAGGAGGGCUUUCCUCCACAACAACACCACUGGCUGAAACUGGUCUCCAAAUAGAGAGUAAUCAUCACAAAUUUGAUUUGUGUUUCGAAAAGCAAAACUACAACAAUGUUCACGAAAAAUCAGAAACCAAAUGAUCACAAUCCAAAUUUCAGCAACAUCUUCUGGUACCUCCGCCUGAAUUUUGUGAUUUAGAUUCUUACAUAAUUUCUUGAAGACUUAAUGCAGAUGUGGCACAGACUGUGGGGAUGGGAAGCCCUUUGAGACGUUGCUGUAAUUUAGGGCUGAAGAAAUAAGGUCGACUUGACACAGAAGUAAAGAAAAGAAAAAAAAACAUUUGUUGAUCUGUGCUGAAAUCAAAUGUUAUUUUUGUGUGAGCAAUUGACCACACAAAGAUUUGAAAAAAAAAACUAACAAAAAAAACUGAAAACAGCAAAUCUGUCGUUUUAGUUAUUGGGAACCAAUCAGAAACAGCCGUUUAAAGUAACACUGUAAUUUUAGCUUAAAAUAAAGCUCCAAACCACUGGUUGUUCACUGGCUGCCAUGGCAACACCCUGGCCUGCUAUUGGUGGUCAUUACCAAGAUAAAACAAAAGAAUAAGACCCACAAUUCUCAUAUAAAACUGAUCUACUGUACCCUUCCCUCCUGGACUUGGCUUUAAAGCGCAACCCGAGCUAAGAAAGGAAAGGCUAUCUUUUGAAGUUAGAUUUGAGGAGACAUUCACAUGCGACUCAGAUAUUGACCACAGGCACUUCCUUUGUUACUUGGGAGUAAUUUGAUCCACGCUGUAUGAAUUUGUCCUUCUGGAUUGACAAAGAUGUUCCAACACGUAACCAGCAGCAAUUGGGGAAACUUUGACGAUAUCAGUUAGUAAGACUGUGAGCUUGCUGUUGUGGGAACUCCACUGGGAACCGUCGGUGUUGUGUUUUGGGUGAAUCUUUGACGAAUUUCGACCUGCAGCGACGAUAGAAUUUCGCUGGUCUCCAUGCAGAACCAAGUGCAGGGAACCACUUUAGGGGGGACCAAAUUAGGAGUGCAAACAAUUCCCUUCUGAGCAGAUUUGCAUACUAUCCUCUUCAUAUUAAUUUCACUGGCAAGCGCCUCCUGAUCGUUUAUAAUUUCCUGACGAAACCCACCUCUGCCCGUCUACAGAUGACUCAGGAGCUAAAUGUCAGAGCUGUCCAUGCCAUUAAGGCCAUCGCCUUUGAAGGCCGGACACCCUGAAACCCCACCCUCACUUCCCCCUGUCUCUUCGUAUUCUUCUCACUCCCACUCUGACUUUGCCUCCAUCCGCCAUCAUCCAUCUCCCACACAUCCAGGCUGGUUUGAGGGCUGAUGUGUGCGCAGACCUUGUCAUUCACAUUAGAGCAACAUUGUCCGCUCAGGGCCCUUCCCUCUCUGCUUCUUCCCAUCUCUCUCUCUCUCUCUCUUCCUGGCCCAGAUCUUUCUUGCUGUCACCCCCCCCUCCUGCAGCCAGAGAAGACCUUAUCAAGCAACAUCCACUUCUGCCAAUUCCAACACUGUCAUUCAAAUCCUGUUUUGUGAGGGAGCAAAGGAAUCGCUUGCAGUAAAAAGCAAACACCAUUUUAUAAUUGGGAUUUUUAGUGUGCGUGUAUGUGUGCGUGCGUGCGUGCGUGUGCUGUGUGUGUGUGUGUGUGUGUGUGUGUGUGUGUGUGUGUGUGGGUGUGUGGGUGUGUUUGUGUGUGGGUGUGUGUGUGUGCACACGCACAUAGAGGCAGAAUAUGAAAAUGCUCGGAUAAUAAUAACAAUAAUAAUAAUAUUUCAUUUCUGAAGUACUUAAUGCUCUUUGGUUGUGUCGGCAUGGCAUUUUGUUUCACAUUUCCUAAUCAACUGAGCGAUCGUCUGUUCCUUAAAAGCUUCCCACUUGCAUAUGUUUUCUGCCGGUGCCAUCUUGACACUUGGCCUCUGAUGUACAGUUUCUAAUAAGCCGAAUAUCGACGCUGCCUCAAAUAGCAACAACGCCGCACUGUUCAGAAAAAACAUUCUAUGCAAGUGUGCGGCAGUUCUGGUCUCCGAAAAGGAAGGUUUACGCCACAGCGAAACUGAUUUUUUAAUUUCGGUGAGUCAACAUUUUCAUCUUGCUCACUGCAAGAGGCUCUUGCGUGACAGUGGCCCUGUAAGAGAGCACGCCACACCUAAAAACUGCCAUGACUCAGCUGUUUCAAGAUGACAUCCUGCUCUCUCGACUGCUAUUUUCAAGGAAAUUAGGCCCUCUUGUAACACUGACACUAUCCUUAGUGUCAUAAUGAGAACGUGUUAAAGGAGUUGCAUACAUAUAACACUAGGUGACAGUUCAUAACAGGCUAGUGUUAACAUUGCUGGCAUCGAACAAUGAGUGAGGCAAAGCCAGUUCUUUUUGCAAGGGCCUUGUUAGUGGAGACCAGGGAGUGCACAGUGGGCUCUAAUAAUACCUUUCUUUUUAGAUUCAUUUCAACAUAACGGUUCGUCUAUUUUAAAACUUUUCCACUGUAAUUCUCAGGCUUGGUACUACUUGGUGAACAUGUCAAGUGGGGAUAGGCAUACAAAUAUAUGUUUGUGUCCAGGUAGCUUACUAAUGGGAUUUGUGUUUAAAAUUAGUAUUGGAUAGGCAUUUUUACAAUCUCAAGAAGAUGCCAUCAAAUUAUGGAAAGCCCACAAGAGCAUUUGGUGAGAUUGAAACAUUGAAGCCAUGUCCAUCAGGUUUGUGCUUGCCCCAGUGAACAUUCAACGCUGUCGGUGAGUUUGGCUAAAUUGAAGAACCAUCGACCGUUGAUUGUACCCUGUUGUAGGCCAUUACUCUGAAUUGAAGCAAAACGGGCAGAUCCUGCACACGGGCAUUAACAACGAACCAUUGAGCCUUUUCCACAAGUAAAAUGACAAAUUUGAUGUAUUUAUUUAUUUUUACCCCCACGCCUCCAACUCACUCCCCCCAAAAAACCUACAAAGGUCACAAUCAACAUUCAUUGCUGUCGGUGGGUUUAACUGUAUGGAAGAGCUCACUGACCGAUGAAUGCAACUGUGUCCCAGAUUUCAGCUGACCCUCACAUCGAAUAAUGUCACGAUAUGCUGAUGAUGCUCUUGUUUAUAUGUAGCCUGCCCUGCUCCAAGCCUUCCACCAAUAACAGGCCAACACGGCUUGUACGAACUGACAGGAAGUUCAGAUUGCAUCUCGAUCACACCGGGUGUGCUGGAGGGGUUCAAGUCGAGCAGCAAAGGCAAAGCAGGAAGGGGUGGUUGGGAUGCCGGUUGAAGAUGCAGAGAUAUUUGGGGGGAGAUGACCUUUAAAAUAAAAUUGCAUUUACAUUUGAUAUAUGACUGAAAAUAUUAAGUGAAGCAAGCAAGCAAAUAAGUAUACCCUAGAUGCCCUUAUGCAUUCGACAAGAUUCUUUUUAAAGUGUUUUCUAAUGAGCUAAUUUUUUAAUGAAGGUGAACCUGAACAGAAUCAAGAUUUUCUUUUCCUAUUCCUGUUUAUUAAAACACCACUGUUUGUUAUAAUCCUUGCAUUCAAUUAAAUAAUUUCCAUUGGAAUGUGUCAGACAAUUUUUUUUUCCUCAAGUUUUCCAUCCAUCCAUCUAUUUUGUCAACCACUUGCCCUCAAAGCUGGGUGAAUUGAAGCAUCCCGGGUGACUUUGGACAAAAGGUGGGGUACACAACUGGUCACGACACACACAACCACUUAGGCCACUCAUAUUUUCACUUACGGAAAAUUAAAAAUUUGCAGAUAAACCAACAUGCAUGGUUUUGAGAUGCAGGCCAAAGGAGUGUCUCGGCAGAGAUUUAAGCCUGGCACCUCUAGACUGUGGGACAGGUGUGCCAAUCACUACUCAUUGCAAAACAAAUAAAAAAAAUUGAUAAUAAAAAAA